AACCGAUCAAACCAAUCACAGAGCACUUGCGGGCGCUCACCCCCUCUCGUGGGGGGUGGGGCAGUCUGCCGUUUACGGGUGCCGCCGGUGCGGGAAGCCCCCCUCGCGGGGCCCCCGGCCGGGCCGGACCCUUCAACCCAUUGAACCCUCUGCCCUGAAGCAGCUUCGUAUGGGGACACCCCUGCGAUAGUAACUGAGACAACUCUCAACAACGGAUAUCUUGGCUCUCGCAACGAUGAAGAACGCAGCGAAAUGCGAUACGUAGUGUGAAUUGCAGAAUUCCGUGAGUCAUCGAAUCUUUGAACGCACAUUGCCGGUCGACUCUUCGGAGGAGACCACAUCUGCCUCAGCGUCGGAAUACCCCCUCACGCACUCCCGCGUGGACCUGGCCCCCCCGGACACCCCGUCCGGGCUGGCUGAAAUGCAGAGGCUCGUGCGCGGCCCACUCGUGGCCCCGACUAGGUAGGUAGCUCGCUACUGCUAGGCGGAGGCUCGGCGUCGCGCGCUCUGGGCCCAAAAGGAUACCCAUCCAUUCAUU
rnacentral:rRNA from 1 species